AACGAACGCUGGCGGCAUGCCUAACACAUGCAAGUCGAACGAGAUCUUCGGGUCUAGUGGCGCACGGGUGCGUAACGCGUGGGAAUCUGCCCUUUGGUUCGGAAUAACAGUUGGAAACGACUGCUAAUACCGGAUGAUGACGAAAGUCCAAAGAUUUAUCGCCAGAGGAUGAGCCCGCGUAGGAUUAGCUAGUUGGUGUGGUAAAGGCGCACCAAGGCGACGAUCCUUAGCUGGUCUGAGAGGAUGAUCAGCCACACUGGGACUGAGACACGGCCCAGAAUGCUACGGGAGGCAGCAGUGGGAAAUAUUGGACAAUGGGCGAAAGCCUGCUCCAGCAAUGCCGCGUGAGUGAUGAAGGCCUUAGGGUUGUAAAGCUCUUUUACCCGGGAUGAUAAUGACAGUACCGGGAGAAUAAGCUCCGGCUAACUCCGUGCCAGCCGCCGCCGUAA
rnacentral:rRNA from 1 species